AUACGUAGGGUGCAAGCGUUAAUCGGAUUUACUGGGCGUAAAGCGUGCGCAGGCGGUUUUGUAAGGCUGUGGUGAAAUCCCCCGGCUCAACCGGGGAAGUGCCAUUGUGACUGCAAGGCUGGAGGGCGGCAGAGGGGGGUGGAAUUCCCCGUGUAGCGGUGAAAUGCGUAGAUAUGGGGAGGAACACCGAUGGCGAAGGCAAUCCUGUGGGCCUGCUGUGGCGCUCAUGCACGAAAGCGUGGGGAGCAAACAGGAUUAGAUACCCUGGUAGUCCACGGCCUAAGCGAUGUCAUCUGGUUGUUGGGGAUUUAUUUUCUCAGUAACGAAGCUAACGCGUGAAGUUGACCGCCUGGGGAGUACGGCCGCAAGGUUAAAACUCAAAUGAAUUGACGGGG
rnacentral:rRNA from 1 species